rnacentral:rRNA from 1 species
UACGCAGGGUGCAAGCGUUGUCCGGAAUUAUUGGGCGUAAAGAGCUUGUAGGCGGUUUGUCGCGUCUGCUGUGAAAUUUCGGGGCUCAACCCCGAACUUGCAGUGGGUACGGGCAGACUAGAGUGUGGUAGGGGAGACUGGAAUUCCUGGUGUAGCGGUGAAAUGCGCAGAUAUCAGGAGGAACACCGAUGGCGAAGGCAGGUCUCUGGGCCAUAACUGACGCUGAGAAGCGAAAGCAUGGGGAGCGAACAGG